AGAGCCCGCCUGGCAGGACUACUGAGCAAGGCCUUGGAAAAUCGGAGCGAUUAGAGCGGUUCAAACAAUACAGAAGUGUAUAAAGUAAGAAUUGAAAGUCUCUUCGCUGCUCUAAUCUCACUCCUCAGAGGUGAUCACUGCUGUCUUGUUGAUGGGGGUGCACCCUGACGAAUGGUGUGCUGGCAAAGAUUUAACAAAAGGCUCCAGAGGAGGGCAGACUUGAAGUGGAGCCUUCAGUGGGCAGUGUGAAGGGUGCUGAUUUCAAACAACUCAUCUGGUAUGACUGAACAUGAAGUUGGGAAGAGAUGUGCAUAAUUGAAGUGGGUGAGAGCCAGUCCAGCACCCUGCAGAGAGUGUGGAAGAUGAUCAAAGUAUGACAUUUCUUCUACCCCAGAGGCUGGCAUUUCUGCAGGCACAAAUGAGCUUGGUUUUCAAGCACUGCUCUUUGAACACAAGGAAUUCCUUUAAUGAUCACGCCGGACUAUAUAGACUUUGGAAUCAGACUCUUUGAAUUCCAGCUCUGCCAUUUACCAACUUUGACACUUUGGACAACGUCUCAUUCUGUCACCCAGGCUGGAGUGCAGUGGCACAAUUAUAGCUCACUGCAGCCUCAAACACCUGGGCUCAAGCAAUCCUUCCACCUCUGCCUCCUGAGUAAUUGGGACUACAGGCAUGUGCCACCACACCCAGCUAAUUUUUAAUUUUUAAUUUUUUUGUAGAGAUGGCGGUCUUGCUAUGUCACCCAGGCUGGUCUUGAACACCUGGCCUCAAGUGAUCCUCCGGCCUUGGUCUCUCAAAGCUCUGGGAUUACAGACAUGAGCCACUGCACCCGGCUCUAUCUCCCCUUCCUAUGUGUGUUAGCUCUAGAACAAGAGAAGCCUUGUUGAGAUUCCUGGCUGCCCACCCCCCAUCACCUCUCUGACUUUGGGCAAGUUGCCUGGCCUCUCUCAGCCUUUAUUUUCUUUUUGUGAAAUGGGGAUAAUAAUAGUACUUGCCUCAUAGGCAAAAUGUUGUGAGAACUAAACGAGAAAAUGCAUGUAAAGCACUUGGCACUUAGUUCUUUUUAUGAUUAUAAUGAUAAUCAGACACAAUAAAUUAUGUCUCACAUCACA
rnacentral:lncRNA from 10 species